rnacentral:rRNA from 1 species
CGCGUAGGCGGGUCGGCAAGUCCGGGGUGAAAGCCCCCAGCUUAACUGGGGAAGGGCCUUGGAAACUGCUGGUCUCGAGGGAGGUAGGGGCAUGUGGAACUUCGGGUGGAGCGGUGAAAUGCGUUGAUAUCCGAAGGAACGCCGGUGGCGAAAGCGACGUGCUGGAUCUCUUCUGACGCUGAGGCGCGAAAGCUAGGGUAGCGAAG